rnacentral:rRNA from 1 species
GGUAGCUAAAUGCGGAAGAGAUAAGUGCUGAAAGCAUCUAAGCACGAAACUUGCCCCGAGAUGAGUUCUCCCUGACCCUUUAAGGGUCCUGAAGGAACGUUGAAGACGACGACGUUGAUAGGCCGGGUGUGUAAGCGCAGCGAUGCGUUGAGCUAACCGGUACUAAUGAACCGUGAGGCUUAACCUUACAACGCCGAAG